rnacentral:lncRNA from 1 species
AAUAAAUGUUUUCAUAUUCUGUAUUGGCUAGUCUUAUCAAAUAUAUACAAAACAAGUAUUAAUAUCUAAGCAAGUAUAGUAGUUAAUAUCAUAGUUAAAAAUGUUAAAAUAAAUUAACAUAGUCAAAACAAAAAUAUAUUAUCAUACAUCCUCUCUGCCAACUCACCAUUUAAAUUGUAAGGCACGCAGAUUAAGGAACAUAUGGUUAUAUUUGUUACCUUAUGCU